GGAUGUGAAGGGAUCUGGCUGAGCCUCUGUCUCCCUAGUUAUCUCCAGGGUGGGUUCAGCUGAGCAGGCUGUAUAGGCAGGUGUUCUUGCCUCCUCACUGUUCUCUGUGUGUCCCUCCUGAAGUUGUGCACUGGGUCAGAGAAGACAACCUUCCUUGGUAGGAGAGGACUGAGGAUGAAUAAAUAAAUAAACAAGCAAAUAAAUACACAAAUAAAUUGU
rnacentral:snRNA from 1 species